rnacentral:miRNA from 1 species
UGGGGAAGAUGGGCACAUGAA